rnacentral:lncRNA from 1 species
GACCUAUUUGUUAAACCCAAGCCUGGGACGGAACCCCUCUUCCAAUUCCGGCCACCUAUGAUCGACGGAUCACCAGUGUUAGGACCAUCUCGACGUCAUGACUAAUCUUAUAUCUGAGGUUUCCACCGACGAGCUCCGACGAAGCCGAUUCGAAACCGAGAAGUUUCUGCGGUUUUCUUGAGUUUUCCGGCGACUAUGGUGGCCGAUGACGACAUGCAAGAAUUGGAGUUUUGGAUGCAAAGCAUGUUGAUCAUCGUCCAGGCUCUGGGAAGAUAGAGUCACUGUUGCCUUCGUUUCAUUAUUCAAACCAAUAUCAGCUUGAUAGAAUUUGGAUGCAGAAACGCAAGCAAGUAUGCACAA